rnacentral:rRNA from 1 species
GACGAACCGAGCGAACGUUGUUCGGAAUCACUGGGCUUAAAGGGCGCGUAGGCGGGCUGUCAAGUCUGGGGUGAAAUCCCGCGGCUCAACCGUGGAACGGGCGCCGAUACGACCGCCCUGGAGGGACGUAGGGGGACCUGGAACUUCCGGUGGAGCGGUGAAAUGCGUUGAGAUCGGAAGGAACGCCCGUGGCGAAAGCGAGGUCCUGGACGUUUUCUGACGCUGAGACGCGAAAGCCAGGGGAGCGAACGGG